CAGCCGCUGCGGGAAUACGUAGGUGGCAAGCGUUGUCCGGAAUUAUUGGGCGUAAAGGGCUCGCAGGCGGUUUCUUAAGUCUGAUGUGAAAGCCCCCGGCUCAACCGGGGAGGGUCAUUGGAAACUGGGAAACUUGAGUGCAGAAGAGGAGAGUGGAAUUCCACGUGUAGCGGUGAAAUGCGUAGAGAUGUGGAGGAACACCAGUGGCGAAGGCGACUCUCUGGUCUGUAACUGACGCUGAGGAGCGAAAGCGUGGGGAGCGAACAGGAUUAGAUACCCGUGUAGUCCCUGUCUCUUAUAC
rnacentral:rRNA from 1 species